rnacentral:rRNA from 1 species
UCAGGCCUAACACAUGCAAGUCGAACGAGAAAGCGGGGGCAACUCCGCGAGUACAGUGGCGCACGGGUGAGUAACACGUGACUAACCUGCCCUUAAGUGGGGGAUAACCUCGGGAAACCGGGGCUAAUACCGCAUAACCUCGUGAGGUGAAAUUCCUUGCGAGCAAAGGAGCAAUUCGCUUUUGGAGGGGGUCGCGGCUGAUUAGGUAGUUGGCGGGGUAAUGGCCCACCAAGCCGAUGAUCAGUAUCCGGCCUGAGAGGGCGCACGGACACACUGGAACUGAAACACGGUCCAGACUCCUACGGGAGGCAGCAGUGGGGAAUUUUAAGGAAUGGGGGAAACCCUGACGCAGCAA